rnacentral:lncRNA from 1 species
UCUGCCUCUUCUAGUUCAACUCCUGAGAGGCUGGGUCAGCCCUGCCGCUGGUCUGCAUGGUUCUUCUGAGCAGUAGAUCUUUGGGCAGAGGAAGGUGCCAAAUGGCAGACAGAGACCCAAGCCUGGGAUGACAAAAGAGGCCAGAAAUCUUCAUCCCUAGUGAAAGGGAUAGGGUUGAGCGGCCUCAAGAUCAGCUGCUGAACAGCUGAAGAACAAGUUAGAUGGGGACACUGAAGUCAAUAACGAUCACUCGACUUGGCUGAGGACUGGGAACAACUUCGGGACAGAACUUGGAGAAAACCCAAGGUCCUCUUCUCCACUGCCCAAUGGGCAGAGGGCACAGUGGACUGCAGCUUGUUCUGCUUAUUCACUUUGAGGCAUAGAAUAUCUUAUGCGAAUUAUGGGAGAUUCAAGUAGCUGGGCCCCGAGGGAUCCUCUGAUUAGCUACCCUCUUUGUGCAAGGAAAGAAACUUUAAUGCUCCCCCUCCCUCUCAGACACCCUGAUGCCAGCUGGUGGAGAUUGUUAGCAAUCUACCCAGGCCUCGCCUCCUCCUCUUUGCCUCUGUGUCUAGGCCACAUUUCCCAGCUUCCUUCCCAGUUGGGUGAAACCUAUUGUCGUGUUCUCCCUAGUGGAAUGUAAGAGGAAGUGAGGCACACCCCUCCCGGCCUGGCUCAUCGACGUUUCUCCUGCUUACCUCUCUGUGUUCUUACCUCUGGCUGAUUGGAAUGCCGAAUCCCAAAGCAAAGUUGGAAGCCAUAUGCUGUGGAACGGUAGAACCAGCGGAUUGCACGUCCCUAAAAGACUGAGAAGAGCUGCCUCGCAGACCUUGACUUCUGUGUUGUGAACAAGGAGGAAAUAUCAUGAGGGUUAAACUGCUGAGUAUUGGAGUCUUGUUUGUUACUGCAAACCAAGGCACGAAAGCCUCUGUACAAGCUUUGACUCUGCUUAACUUGAGGAGGCAGAGACACAUGAUUCCCGCAGCCCACCAACUUCCCUGUCAGCUCCUGUGGUGCACCCUCGCUCCUGCCUCUGUAGCCCUAGCUCCUCCAAUUUGACCUGAGCUGUUUUCAGUCUAGAUCAUCAGACUCCCAAGGCCAGAUGAGAUCUAUGAGGGCAUCUUACAUAUCCUCCCGGUUCUAGAGAGAAGUUCUAACUCAUCUGAGAUGAUCAAGACUCUUGUCUGUAUUUCCAGGCUCCUGAAGAAGAAGUGACACUACUGUUAGUACCAAACCCUAAAAGGCAGAGACUGUAGGAUUGCUGGGAGCCUUCCUCACACACCUGUCUGCCAGAAAGAUCCAUUUCCCUUCCCAUAAAACUAUGUCAGUCCCUAAUAGCUGUUAUGAAUAUCAAAGCCCCCACACUAGCUGUGGUGGUUUCAAUAUGCUUGGCCCAGAGUGGUACUAUCAGGAGGUGUGGCCUUGUUGGAGGAAGUGUGUCACUGUGGGUGUGGGCAGUGAGACCCUCCUCCUAACCACAUGGGAUCAGGUCUUUUCCUAGUGGCCCUCAGAUGCAGAUGUAGAACUCUCAGCAUCAUCACUGCCUGGAUGCUGGCAUGCUCCUGCCUUGAACCUGUAACCCAGCCUCAAUGAAAUGUUGUCCUUUAU